GUAAGGAAUAUUGGGCAAUGGACGCAAGUCUGACCCAGCCAUGCCGCGUGCAGGAUUGAAGGCCCUAUGGGUUGUAAACUGCUUUUGUACGGGAAAAAAUCCCCGAACGUGUUCGGGGUUGAUGGUACCGUAAGAAUAAGGAUCGGCUAACUCCGUGCCAGCAGCCGCGGUAAUACGGAGGAUCCUAGCGUUAUCCGGAUUCAUUGGGUUUAAAGGGUGCGCAGGCGGAAUGGUAAGUCAGUGGUGAAAUCCUACGGCUCAACUGUAGAACUGCCAUUGAUACUGCCGUUCUUGAGUAUAGCGGAAGUGGGCGGAACGUGUCAUGUAGCGGUGAAAUGCAUAGAUAUGACACAGAACACCGAUUGCGAAGGCAGCUCACUAUACUAUAACUGACGCUCAGGCACGAAAGCGUGGGUAGCAAACAGGAUUAGAUACCCGUGUAGUCC
rnacentral:rRNA from 1 species